UACGUAGGGUGCGAGCGUUAAUCGGAAUUACUGGGCGUAAAGCGUGCGCAGGCGGUGAGCUGUGUCCGAUGUGAAAGCCCCGGGCUUAACCUGGGAAUGGCAUUGGAAACUGGCUCGCUGGAGUGUGGCAGAGGGGGGUGGAAUUCCGCGUGCAGCAGUGAAAUGCGUAGAGAUGCGGAGGAACACCGAUGGCGAAGGCAGCCCCCUGGGCUAACACUGACGCUCAGGCACGAAAGCGUGGGGAGCAAACAGG
rnacentral:rRNA from 1 species